UACGUAGGGGGCUAGCGUUGUCCGGAAUCAUUGGGCGUAAAGCGCGUGUAGGCGUCCGGUAAGUCCGCUGUGAAAGUCGGGGGCUCAACCCUCGAAUGCCGGUGGAUACUGUCGGGCUAGAGUACGGAAGAGGCGAGUGGAAUUCCUGGUGUAGCGGUGAAAUGCGCAGAUAUCAGGAGGAACACCGGUGGCGAAGGCGGUUCUCUGGGCCUUACCUGACACUGAGGAGCGAAAGCGUGGGGAGCGAACAGG
rnacentral:rRNA from 1 species